UCCCAAUAAGGAAGCCGGGGCGCGGGAACUGGCUGGACCCGCCCAGGCGAACUCGGGGUCCCCGGGGCAUCGGGGAUGGCGCCCGGCCUGCGCCUGUCGCCCCCCCCCACGCCAAGGUCAAGGUCAAGGUCAAGAUGCAGAUUUAUUUUCUGUUUGCGGUUGGUAGAAUCCUCGCAUGUGAAACUCGCAGGUACUGGGGCCCGCUGGACACUUGGACCUCGCACUGUGGUCCUGGCAGCAGUGAACAACAGUGAAUUAGCGCAAGAAACAACGUAGAGAAGGAGCGAAGAUCUAGGAACCUAAACAGGGCAGAGUUUAGGAGCCCAGAGCUCAGAAGCCUCCAGAAACCGCUGCUUCCCUAGGGUGGAAGAACGAUGGAGACCACUGCGAGAGGAAGAAGGAUGGAGGUAACACCAGCCAGCAGCAGACAGGGCUGAGGAUGCCCGGAGGCUCCCUUCCUCCUCGCUGGCUCCGGUCAUGGCCUCCCAUUGGCCGGCCUUACCGGAAUUGGUUGCAAGGCAGCCUGGGAAAUGUAGUCCCGAGCCCGGCUGCAGUGUGGCAAAGCAAGGAGCAGAGUGAUGCCAACAGGAAAUGCCAGCCAGGCUCGCUACGGUGGGGCGCGGUGGGGAUGGGACGCCCCGCCCUACCCGAAGGUGUCAGCUCACGUCUUGGUCUGAUCUGCACAGCAAUGGAGGGAGAGCAACAAGGGGAAGACUCUGCCACCCUUUCCCAGCAGGAGGAGACAGCAGGACAAUGACCUAUGCUCUGGGCCCCACCCUUGACCUUCCUGGCGCACCGUUCUCGGUGGCCCUACCAUCUGAGCUGGAACUCAGACUCCCUGUUAGCAAGAGCAAAGCUCCCGCCCCGUGGGGAGGAGACAGUCACGCCGCAGCUGCAGGUCCCGGUCCCACGCCCUUCCACCAUGCCGCCCUGUUGUGUGCGUCACUCGUCACUCGCUCCAUGCUUUUCCCAGCCCCCAAAGACAGGCGCCGAGGGUAUUCCCAGAAAACCCAGAAAAAAUUACAGCCAAAAAAAACGUGCCGCAGGUGUCCCCCUGUAACCGAAUCAAGUCAAAGUCCUGAAACAGAGAACUGAGAACCUCCCAGAAGGUCUGGGUGUGCGGCUUAUCUGCUUCAGGCUAAAUUAGACCUGCAGGCCCCCAUCAUUUCCCUAAGUGAUGUAGAUCUUAAAAAAACAAGCUUCUGUAUGUUUGCUAUGUACAAAAUCAUACAGCAUCACUGUACCUGCUUUCAUUUAAUAAUUCCCAGAAUUCAAUAUUGUAAGAGUUUCAUGUGGCAUUGUAUUUCAGAGGAAGAAAUGGAGGAUCAGAGAGGUAGGGCAACCUACCCUGGGACACAAAGCUUGUCAAUGAGCUAUUCCCCCACGAUGGAGGAACCAAUGUCAGGUGUGCAUGCUCAUGGUGUCUGAAUAACCCCGGUAUCGUCCAAGCCACCGUCCAUGUCAUCACAAUUGGCAGUUGUCACGAGACAGAGUCAGAACACACCCACAGGGGUAAAGUGGAAGGGCAGAUGUCUGUCUGGCUCCCCCUGCCUUUCUUAGUGAAAAUGUCACAUCAUGAAGGGUCUGCAGAGCUCUCCAGCCCAGCCCCAGGUCACAUGCAAUCCUGGAGGAGCCAGGUGACUUGGCCAAGGCCACACAGCUGGUGAGGUGGAACCCACCCCAGCCCAGGUACAGCUGCAAGCCUGUUUCUUAGCCUGUUUCCUCUCUGCCCAUGUCUGCCACAGAGUUUCAGUGGUUCAAACCCAGAGGGCCAGGUGGGGAGGGUUUAGUUUUCACAUCUUCACAGGCUACUGGCUCAAUUUUUACUCUUGAACUAAAAGUGGAAAAUUAUUGUUUGCUUUAAGACAUGGCUAUCUCUCUUCCCACCUCAAAUGCAUUAGCACCUUGCUGUCCCACCAAAAAAUAAAAUAAUUAUUCUACCAGUCAA